AACUGAUAGAACUGAACCAGCAUCCACGGUGCUGUACGGCAGCAGUGCAAACCAUUUGUCGGGAUUCUAAAUACGUACCUUCAUCUUAUUGAUUAUACCUCAUUCUAAGCAAUCAAGUUGUGACAAGACUGUUCAAAAUUGGAAGAGUUUAACAGGAAUUGUUCAUGGUACAUGAUGUAUACUUUGCAAAAAUUGCCACUGCAUUCAAGCAAACCAAGAUUUCAAAAAGAAUUCAUUCAUAUGAUUGUUGGUGAGUCUGGAGUCACAUAUGGACCAGCCAGGCUGACCUCUGAUCACCUGAAGUAUUCACCUCAUCUGCCUGAUAAGGCAGGGCAAAGUACAGGACAGGAGAAACUGGGCUGCCAAGUAAAACAGGAAUGGCUGCAUAAACAUGCAAAAAAAAUUAAAAUUACAACAAUGUUUGACAGACAAUAGGGCAUCAAAUAACUAUCCUUGAAGUGAACUGGAUGAAGUUCAAUGCUGGUGAUGGGCUGUUCUCAUUAAAGGAAACAAGGUCAAGCUUCCUUCAACAGGAUACAGGAGCAUUACACAAAGCAUCCUGUCUUCAGUCAUGGCCUGCACUUCGUUAAUUUCAGUUUUCAGUUUUUUUUAACUUCUACACACGUGUUUAUGCUUCUUAGUAAUUGAUAUAAAAUUUUUCCAAUGUAUUCUUGAUGAUAUUUGAAUAACCUUGUGAUUUGUGAUCACUGAUGUAUUCAGAAUUUAAUGCUUUAGUUCUGUUUAUUUUCUGUUCUUAAAAGAUUACCACAUGUAUUUAUCUACAAAUGAUUGAGACCUGGGAUUAUUUUGUUUCUUUACAAAUUCAUGCAUACAUAAUAAAUGAACAAAUGAAAACACAUUGAAAGAUAGAGCACGUGCAAUGUACAACUAUAAUAUUUUUAUAAUACAUGCACAACAUGCAUUCAUUAAUUUUCAAAAUAUGCGGCCAAUUUUGCAUUUUAUUUGUUAUUUCCCGAGACAAUGUUAUGGGUUUGCCAUCCUUUUUCCUCUUCAUUCCACCUGAGAAUUGAGCGUUUCCCAGGCAGAGAGACAAGAAAAUCUGCCCUAUUAUGUUUAUCAUAAUCUUACACAAGAAAGAAAAAAAUAGAAUCAGGAAGGGGAGAAGGGCAGGUUAGACUUACUUCAUACUGGGAUUGGUGAAUGUAUGUGUUGGAUUGGUUGUGAAGGCAGUGAGGAAAAAACAAAUUUUAGGAGGAGUUGAAUUGGUGUCUGGAGAAAAAAAAAUGAUUGAAGGAUAUGAUACAUAUUGUAUGAUAUGAUCUCUACCAGCCAGAUGAAUGUUUUCUAGUCCUGUAAAUUAAUUUGUUCCAAUAAUCUUACCCAUUUAAAUUCUUAUGAUGCCAGUUACUUUUCAAUGCUUUUACUCAAAAUUAUAUGUCUGAAUUUCCUAAAGGUGAGUAAAUCCAUUGCAAAUGGAUUACAUGUUUUCCUUUCCACAGUAAUUAGAUGUUAACACUCACCUUUGUGUCUCAAUU